CAAAGGAAGAAGGGCAUACGGGGAAUGCCUAGGCAACAGGAGGCGAAGAAGGACGUGGUAAGCUGCGAAAAGCUACGGGGAGAUGCAAACGAUUGGAGAUCCGUAGAUAUCCGAAUGGGGGAACCCGAAAGAGCCUGAAAAACAGGAGGCGAACCCAGGGAAGUGAAACAUCUCAGUACCUGGAGGAAAAGAAAUCGAAAGAGAUUCUCUGAGUAGUGGCGAGCGAAAAGGGAAGAGCCCAAAAGUACAUAGUGGAAAAGGGCGAAGCCGUUGCUAUGUACUGGUAGAGGGGGACAUCUAGCCGAACUUCGAGAUAGGCGAUGUUGAAAGGAAGGGAGUGGAAUUAUCUGGGAAGAUAAACCGAAGAGGGUGAAAGUCCCGUACACGGACCGAGAAAUAGACAUGAUGUCAACCCCAAGUAGCGUGGGACACGAGAAAUCCUGCGUGAAUCAGGGUGGACCACCAUCCAAGGCUAAAUACUACCUGUUGACCGAUAGAGAAGAGUACCGUGAGGGAAAGGUGAAAAGGACCCCGGGAGGGGAGUGAAAGAGAACCUGAAACCGUAUGCCUACAGGAAGCGGGAGCGGAAGUGACCGUGUGCCUUUUGAUUAAUGUGCCCGUGAGUUAUAGAUACUGGCGAGGUUAAGCCGGGAGAGGCGGAGCCGGAGGGAAACCGAGUGUGAAGAGCGCGAAAAGUCAGUAUAAAUAGACCCGAAGCCAGGUGAGCUACACAUGUGCAGGUUGAAAGUUGGGUAAAACCAAGUGGAGGACCGAACCGGUGGGUAGUAAAAAAUCCUCGGAUGACAUGUGUGUAGGAGUGAAAAGCUAAUCGAACCUGGAGAUAUCUGGUUCUCCCCGAAACGUGUGUAGGCACGGCCUUACUGGAAAUUAGUUGGGGUAGAGCACUGAUUGGAGUAAGGGGAAAACCUCUGAAACCAGUCAAACUCCGAAUACAACUAAUAAAGAAGUAGGAGACAGACUACGGAGGAGAAGCUCCGUGGUCGAAAGGGAAACAGCCCAGACCGACAGCUAAGGUUCCGAAGAGAAGGCUAAGUGUGAAAGGUAGUGGAGAUCUUAAGACAGCCAGGAGGUUGGCUUAGAAGCAGCCAUCCUUUAAAGAGUGCGUAACAGCUCACUGGUAGAAGGUCACUGCGCCGAAAAUGAAAAGGAGCUAAAGCCUUACACCGAAGCUACGGAAUAGUACGUAAGUAUUAUUGGUAGGGGAGCAAUGUGUAGUAGGGAGAAGGAUAGAUGUAAAUCUAUUUGGACGAGACACAAGAGCGGAUGCGGGCAUGAGUAACGAAAUGGGAGUGAGAAUCUCCCACCCCGAAAGUCUAAGGGUACCUGGGGAAGGUUCGUCCGCCCAGGGUAAGUCGGGACCUAAGGUAAACCCGAAAGGGGUAGCCGAUGGGAAACAGGUAAAGAAUCCUGUACCGUAACUAUACGAGAUACAAGGUGUGACGCAGGAGGUAAAGAAUUGAGUCCAAGUUGCAAGGCUUUCAAGUAUUAAGUCUGGAGAAAGUUACAGGGAAAACCGUAACUGGAAGAUGAGAUACGAUGAGGAGAGAGAAAAAUCUCAACAAAUUGGAGCCACACUGCCAAGAAAAGCAUCGUGUAUUGGUUGAGUAUAGGGACGCCCGUUCUGAAAACCGACACAGGUAGACGAGUAGAGAAUACUAAGGGGAGCGGAAUAACCUCUGUUAAGGAACUAGGCAAAAUAGCCCCGUAACUUAGGGAGAAGGGGUGCUCCUGGUGGUGUAUAUAUAUAUGCGACUGGGAGUUGCAGUGAGAAGGCUCUGGCGACUGUUUACCAAAAACACAGGUCUCUGCGAACACGAGAAGUGGAAGUAUAGGGACUGACGCCUGCCCAGUGCCGGAAGGUUAAGUGGAGUAGUGAGAGCUAAGAAGCGAAGCCCCGGUAAACGGCGGCCGUAACUAUAACGGUCCUAAGGUAGCGAAAUUCCUUGUCGGGUAAGUUCCGACCUGCAUGAAUGGCGUAACGAUUAGAGCACUGUCUCAACAGAGGAUCCGGUGAAAUUACAGUCUCGGUGAAGAUGCCGAGUACCCGCAGUUAGACGGAAAGACCCCAUGGAGUUUUACUGUAGCCUGACAUUGUAGUUUGUCAACAAGUGUACAGGAUAGGUGGGAGGCGAAGAAUCUAGCCCGCAAGAGUUAGAGGAGCCGCUGGUGGGAUACCACCCUCUUAUUGAUGUGCUACUAACAGAGGAAUGUGAAGAGCAUAAUCUGGACAUUGUUAGGUAGGCAGUUUGACUGGGGCGGUUGCCUCCUAAAGAGUAACGGAGGCGUGCGAAGGUCGGCUCAGGUGGGUUAGGAAUCCACCGAAGAGUGCAAGGGCAAAAGCCGGCUUAACUGAGAGACUGACAGGUCGAACAGGAGGGAAACCUGGUCCUAGUGACCCGGCGGUGUUGAGUGGAAAAGCCGUCGAUAAACGGAUAAAAGUUACCCUGGGGAUAACAGGCUAAUCACGCUCGAGAGUUCAUAUCGACGGCGUGGUUUGGCACCUCGAUGUCGGCUCAUCGCAUCCUGGGGCUGAAGAAGGUCCCAAGGGUUGGGCUGUUCGCCCAUUAAAGCGGUACGUGAGCUGGGUUCAGAACGUCGUAAGACAGUUCGGUCCCUAUCUGCUGCGGGCGUAGGAAAUUUGAGAGGAGUUACUCUUAGUACGAGAGGACCAGAGUGAGCGCACCGCUGGUGAACCAGCUGUCAGGCAAAUGGCAGGAGCUGGGUAGCUAAGUGCGUAACCGAUAACCGCUGAAAGCAUCUAAGCGGGAAGCGGACCUCGAGAUAAGAUUUCCCGCUCGAAAGAGUUAAGGGCAGUUCGAGAACAGGACAUUGAUAGGUCGCAAGUGUAAGUGCAGUGAUGUAUUGAGCUGAGCGAUACUAAUAGCCCGAGGCUUUG
rnacentral:rRNA from 1 species